GAAUACAGCAGCUCAGAAUCUUUAGUCCAGACUCAAGCUCAGGCAAACACAGACCACUGAAAACAUAACAGUCCCCAUCCUGGGUUCAGAACAUGUUCCAGAUUGAAGCCCUGUGCCUGCUUUUUCUUCAAAAUGAAAGUGGACGCUUUAAGCACUCUUUUAUUUUAUAAAAAUCAUAUUUAUUGUAACAUGUAGCUUGGCCCUCAUUGACACUAUUGACUCUCUUUGUGCAUGGCUCUUGUUGUGGUAAUUUUCCAGAAAAGCAGAAUUGUUCUUCUUGUGUGUGUUUGCUUUUUAUGUUUCCAAUGCCAGCAAUCAGGGACUCCCCAGGCUGCACCACAGGUAUACUAACACUACACAAAAUGAGUGACAACCAGGCAUGUAUAUGGGGAAUAUAUCCAUGGAUUAGAGGUUUACCUGCCAUGCUCACAUUUUGUAUAACUAGGAUUUAAUUACAGCACCAUGAGAAUGCAAUCCCAAAGAAAGCAAAAGUCAUUGUCAGAUACUGUAUUUCUGAAAUUGUGACAACUCAACGUUGUAAAAAUCAGGUGCUUAGCUAAGAGUCCAGCUCUGGCAGGAUUACAGUUAGUGCUUCCUGCCAAAAGGGGAGGAAAAACAUCCAAGCAUAUUACAGUCUGCAGCCAGGUUGAGCUUUAUAACAAAGGAUUCACAUACGAAGAUGAAUCGUAAACAACUACAUUUGCUUAUCAGAACCAGCUCCAGCGUUUUCAGUUCAGGAAUGGAUUUAUAUGACUGCAUUUCCCGACUAUUUCCUGUCUUCUAGACUGGUUUGCCACUGUUUGCAAUGCACUUCACGAUGCACUGAUUUAAAAGUCCUGAAUAGCAAUGAGCUUGUUCCAAAGGAAUGAGACUCACAUCCAUGCAGUCCAUUUAUAAUUCCGAAGAAUGUACAAUGUUGCAGAUGAGUGGAAGGGCACAUUCAACAUUUAUCAAUAAUUAUGGUUUCUUUUGUUUCCCAGUUGUAUCCUCUCCUUAGCAACCCUUCACUCCACUUUUAUCCAGGCUGAGGAAUAUAGCUUACCCGCAAAGUGACAAGGCACCAUUAAUAAGCUUAAAGCAGAAAACAUUUUCAUUAGGAUUUAUAGCAGCUACUGAAUCAGAUGAAGUUUGGGAUUUUGCUGAAAAGAGAGCAAAUCACAUCACAUAACACUGAAGGACCAAAAUGAAUCCGAAGGUCAUCUUGUCCAAUUUCCUACAGAAACUGAGCACUGAAGUUUUGAUUUGGGCCUUUGUUCCAAGUAUACUCAGAAAAACAUGCUGAAUAUACUGUCCCACCAAUCAGGCAGAUUGAGGCAGCCGCCUCAGGCGGCAGAAUUCCAAGGGGUGGCACCACAAGGGCGCUCAGCCCACCUCUGCCACCGCCGGAGUAGUGAAAUGUGGCGGCGGCUUCUUGUAAGAUAUCAUGAGAUAUCACAGAGUUCUCAUGUGAUCUUGCUACCGCUUCUCCUUACUUCUCUGGCACCGCCCUGGGUGCCACCCACCCCCUUGUACUGCCACCACCAAAGAAGCAAGGAAAAGCUGUUGCAGCUUCUGACGAGAUCUUGCAGACAUUUUGCGGGAACUUGGAAGCCACAGACCUGUGACCCCCGUAAGCAAGACUUCAGUGAGGGGGUGGCAAGAGAUGGUGGCAAGGAAGGGAAAGCACCUUCUUGUUUUGUCUCAAGUGACAAAAUGGGACAGGCCACCCAUUUCAAAAUGCAUAACAUUGUAAGCGCUUUGCUGUCAACUCGGUGACUGAAGGUUCUGUAUCUAGUUUCUGUUGAAAGCAAAACCCCUAUGCAAAGUCCUUUUUUCUGGUGGCAAACUGUCCUGUAAUGUGAGGCGAUAUUGCUGAAUAUAUUGUAUUGUGUACUAUUAGGGGAAGAAGGACCCCUGGUGGUCAUGCGUUAUUUAAAAGCAAGGACAC